rnacentral:rRNA from 1 species
UACGAAGGGGGCUAGCGUUGUUCGGAAUCACUGGGCGUAAAGCGCACGUAGGCGGACUUUCAAGUCAGGGGUGAAAUCCCGGGGCUCAACCUCGGAAUUGCCUUUGAUACUGUAGGUCUCGAGUCCGGAAGAGGUGGGUGGAAUUCCUAGUGUAGAGGUGAAAUUCGUAGAUAUUAGGAAGAACACCAGUGGCGAAGGCGGCUCACUGGUCCGGUACUGACGCUGAGGUGCGAAAGCGUGGGGAGCAAACAGG